GGCAAGCAGUUUGAGUGAAGAGACAAGACAGGAUCUCCCUACUUCCUUAGAUCUUCCAGUCUGCAGCUCCAGCUCCAGCUCCAGGGGCUUCAUCAAACCAUUCCUCUUUUCCUAAGUCUCUUGCACUGAGCCUGACCAGAAUCAAGAUGCUGGCCUGAGAGGGAGCUGAGCAACAGGGAGCAGGGAAGCUGUGUAUGUCCCUCACCUUGGCCCCAGCCCCUGUGCUCCCCAAGGCUGCUUCCUGAGUCUUCUGCAGGGCCCUGGCUGGGAUAUCAUCAUAUACUAAGCUGUGCCAGGAAGAGAGCUCAGGAUCCUGGAGCAGCCUCCUGGAAAGGAGGGAAACUCCAGUCUAACGUGGGGAUGGGGUGAGGGAAUUUCUCUUCUUGACACUGGGGUCUGAAUCUCUUCCCUGUUCUAAAGAAAUAAACACAAG